CCCACACCCAUGUGUUGGAGGACCUCAAAGGAUCACCAUUAAAUUUGACACAAAUCUCUAGAAAAGUUAUCACAUGGGUGUGGGACUUGACUUUUCUAGAGAUCUGCGUCAAAUUUAAUAGUGAACCUUUGGGGUCCUACACACAUGGGUGUGGG
rnacentral:pre_miRNA from 1 species